CCUGCGGGUGGCUGCAGUGGGGAAUAUUGGACAAUGGGCGAAAGCCUGAUCCAGCCAUGCCGCGUGUGUGAAGAAGGCCUUCGGGUUGUAAAGCACUUUCAGUGGGGAAGAAAGCCUUGGGGCUAAUACCCUCGAGGAAGGACAUCACCCACAGAAGAAGCACCGGCUAACUCCGUGCCAGCAGCCGCGGUAAUACGGAGGGUGCGAGCGUUAAUCGGAAUUACUGGGCGUAAAGCGCGCGUAGGCGGUCUGAUAAGCCGGUUGUGAAAGCCCCGGGCUCAACCUGGGAACGGCAUCCGGAACUGUCAGGCUAGAGUGCAGGAGAGGAAGGUAGAAUUCCCGGUGUAGCGGUGAAAUGCGUAGAGAUCGGGAGGAAUACCAGUGGCGAAGGCGGCCUUCUGGACUGACACUGACGCUGAGGUGCGAAAGCGUGGGUAGCAAACAGGAUUAGAUACCCCUGUAGUC
rnacentral:rRNA from 1 species